rnacentral:rRNA from 1 species
GAUGAACGCUAGCGGCAGGCUUAAUACAUGCAAGUCGUGGGGCAGCGCGGGUAGCAAUACCUGGCGGCGACCGGCAAACGGGUGCGGAACACGUACGCAACCUUCCUUCAAGUGGGGAAUAGCCCAGGGAAACUUGGAUUAAUACCCCGUAAUACUAUGAGGUGGCAUCACCUUAUACUUAUAGCUCCGGCGCUUGAAGAUGGGCGUGCGCCUGAUUAGGUAGUUGGCGGGGUAACGGCCCACCAAGCCUACGAUCAGUAACUGGUGUGA